rnacentral:rRNA from 1 species
GCAGUCGAGCGACAGAUAAGGAGCUUGCUCCUUUGACGUUAGCGGCGGACGGGUGAGUAACACGUGGGUAACCUACCUAUAAGACUGGGAUAACUUCGGGAAACCGGAGCUAAUACCGGAUAAUAUUUCGAACCGCAUGGUUCGAUAGUGAAAGAUGGUUUUGCUAUCACUUAUAGAUGGACCCGCGCCGUAUUAGCUAGUUGGUAAGGUAACGGCUUACCAAGGCGACGAUACGUAGCCGACCUGAGAGGGUGAUCGGCCACACUGGAACUGAGACACGGUCCAGACUCCUACGGGAGGCAGCAGUAGGGAAUCUUCCGCAAUGGGCGAAAGCCUGACGGAGCAACGCCGCGUGAGUGAUGAAGGUCUUCGGAUCGUAAAACUCUGUUAUUAGGGAAGAACAUACGUGUAAGUAACUGUGCACGUCUUGACGGUACCUAAUCAGAAAGCCACGGCUAACUACGUGCCAGCAGCCGCGGUAAUACGUAGGUGGCAAGCGUUAUCCGGAAUUAUUGGGCGUAAAGCGCGCGUAGGCGGUUUUUUAAGUCUGAUGUGAAAGCCCACGGCUCAACCGUGGAGGGUCAUUGGAAACUGGAAAACUUGAGUGCAGAAGAGGAAAGUGGAAUUCCUGUGUAGCGGGUGAAUGCGCAGAGAUAUGGAGGAACACCAGUGGCGAAGGCGACUUUCUGGUCUGUAACUGACGCUGAUGUGCGAA